AGAAAAACAAGACUCCGACUAUGAAAUCAGAGGGAUCUGAUUUCAAUCUUACGAGAUCUAAUUGAUUUCAUCUCAGAGUCCAUAGACUCCGACUCGCCGACUCAGUGUGGUUCACCGUUCACUCCCUCACCGCCUCUCUCUUUUUCCGGCGACCUCUGUUCUCUCCGAAACCUCUCUCCGUCCGUGAAAGAUCGGCGUCCGAUUCAAGCAUUUUCUUCCUCAAAUGAGCAUCGUCGGAUCUUGUAUCUCACUCGCAGCGAUUCGUGCAUAGCUUGACCUCCAUAGCGUCAAUUUCAAGUGGUAUGAUGGAUUCUUCUUGUCGAUGCUCGCGACUAGUGUGCAUCCUUUAUUAGGGUUUCGAUUUCAAUAUCUGGAAUUCGUUUCUGCUUCAUCUCAUGGCUUCGAUUCUAAAUUUCUGUUAGUUUCUGGUUCAUAAUGUAUGUCAAGCUUUGAGAAAUUGUUACUGUGCCUAAAUUUGUUUCGUUCUUAUCUCCAUUUUCUUGCUUUAUAAAUGCAGAUAAGAAUUGGAAAAAUCUGUAACUAUAGGAUUAGAGACUGUUUGUUUGGUUGUAUAUAUACAGUCUGUAGGUUUUGCGCAGCUCCCGUUCAUACUACUGCUGUGUAUUGUUGGAUCAAUUUAUGGCAUUGUGGUUCAAAACUAAGGCAUUUUCAGUGUAUACUAAUGAGCUACACUCCCUCUAGGUGGUUUACAGUUUUGAGUUUUGAUGCAGCUACUCUGCUCCUUUCAUUGUCUGAUGUCUUUCUGAUGAGGCAUUUAUCAUGUUUGUUGUUAAAACAUGCAUAUUUCAUGAGGAGGUGCAAAGAAUUUAUCAUGUUUAAUGUUACAUGCAUAUAUCAUGAAGACUACUACUCGUUUCUCUGAUCAAAUUCAAUAUUUUUCACCUCCUCGUAAUGUUUAUCACAUCAGUAGACCUAUUUCCAUACGAAUAAGCUAAGCAAUGUUGCAGUGUUAGUUUGCACACAUCAUUGCUUCUAUGCAAGCUCACUGCAGCAACAAUAUAGCUUCAAAGAUUUCGACAUGGCACCCAUUACCACGCUUAUCUUCUUUCAAUUUCGGACUUGAAGAUUCACUUACGGACUCUUUGAGUUCUGGUCUUGUACACCCUGAUCAUGCAACCCUUCUGUAAUGUGCAUUUAUGGUCAAAUUCUGCCAUGUUGAACAUGGGUUCGACUUCUAUCAAAACCAUGAUGAUUUGAUGUUGGAGCUAGCUGCAGGUGAUACUUUUCUCGUCUGUAGUGAAGAUCAUUGGUAUUUUCAGUCAAAAAAUAGGUGCUUAGCUUUACACUUUAUUCCAUUUUUCUCAAGUGUGUUUUUUUCCCUUCUAAAUGAAAGAGGAUUACAUCGGAGUACAUCUUGGACUUAAGUACUGUUUAAUUGAUUGGUUUAUAAGGGGUUUUUGCAGGUGAAGUAUUCGCAAGAGCAGGUGAAGUAAUGUGUUUUGUUUUGUAGGCUUAUUAGUAUGAGUUUGUCUAGAUUGUUAGGUUGGUGGUGCUUUUAGCUCUAGUUUUCGUACUGUUCUUGUCGUGAAUAGUCGUGAGCAUUAGGAAGUUCUUAGGCUGCAGUUUUGUUAAAUGAUUUUAAAUGAUGAAUUCUAUUUCACUACACGUUUGGAUAGUCUGUGAUAAGAGUAGAUGCAAUACAUUUGGAAUGGAUUACGAAUAACAAUGUACAAUUUUGUUUUCUUCUUCCUCUGACUCAAAUCUAAUACAUAUGAUUUGUUUACAACAGUUGCAAUUAUUCCACAAUUAGUUUUGCUACAACGAAGUGGAAAUGUGGACAAUUUGAUGGGCAGUAUGUUUUCUUUCUGGGGUUGCUUCUGUAGAAAAUGAUCCAGGUGGUGGAAGUGAUGUUGAAACAUCAGGACCUGUACAUCCUCAAACCUUGAGGCUGUGAGCAGAACAUUACAGAGCAAGGAUGAUCUAGCUAGCAUGUUUUAUAUUUGAAUAUUAGUUUAAUUAUACUACGAUUUUGUAGUAUUAAGUUGUUUAAUUGACAUUAUUUACUACAUGAAUGCUCUCGUUUAUUAUCCUUGAAUGAAAGGGUUUAAUUAAAAUAUUGUCUAUUAGAAGUGUGAAUGAG